rnacentral:lncRNA from 1 species
UUUUUUCAUUUUUUUAAGCAUUAUCUGGGGAGUUGAGAUCUAGAUCUCAUAUCUUCAAUUCUAUAUUUCUUUUUAUUUUCUUUUAUCCUUUAUCAAUUUUUCCAUCUCUAGAAACUCUUUGUAACCUAGUAUUUUGGGGAAUUAAGCAAAUCAUCUGGAUCUAAUCAUUCCUUCUCUAUUUAAGAUUCAAGAACAAAUUCCUGUAAGCUUUGUAAGUAAAUUUUUAAUUUAUUUAUUAAUAAUACAAAGCUUCUUUCUAUUUCUUCUAUGGAAUUUGUGGCUAAGCUUCCAUAACUAGGGUUAUGGGAGACUUGAUGUCAACAACUGAUUUGGGAUGUGAAAUUAAUUGAGUUCCAUGAUAAAUUGAUGUUGUAUAAAUGUUUCUUCACUUUAAUGACUUUUCUUAGUUGCAAAUCGGAAAAGUGAGCCCAAGAACAUCACUUGUCUAAGAGGAAAGUGCUUGUUCGGAAAAGAAUGGGUUUACAUGGACUCUAAGGACUUUAAUCUCUAGAUUAAUGAAAAAUUCCAUAACCAAAUUGGCCUACAUAAGAGAACAGUUUAAUAACCAAUGCAUUAUUUACGUUUGAGAUAAUUAAAGGAUAAGCUGCCCACUGAGGUUGAGAAAUGAAUGGGCAAAAUAAACGGAUUUUACUACUCUUGCAAUUGAAGUUGUCAGUUGGAACUCUAAAUUGAUUCACAACCCUAGCUUUUCAAGCAUCUUUUUAACCAUAAUUCUAGUUUGUUUAAUAUAAUUGAAUUACUACUUCCGAAAAGGAUCAUUAGAUAGAAUAACUCUAUUACAAUUAGUUAGAACAUAAUUCACAAAUUUAUAAAAACCAAUUUUAUCUUUUCGUAUCAUUUUUUGAAUUUAACUUGUUGCUAUAGUUUCAAAUUAGUUUAAUCGUCACUCACAUUAUUCCUCCUAGAUUUGACCCCGACUCCCAAGUUGGGUAAAUAUAUUGACGACGAACGCCUUAUACUAAAUUGAUGUGUAAGUUGAGCGAUAUGAAAUUUUGGCAUUGCUGCAUUGGGAAUAUGGUUGUCAAUUAAGUUUGUGUUUAUUAAAUAAACUUUGGUCAAGUUUUACAAAUUUUACUUUUGUUUGUGCAGGAGAGCUGUUAUGCAUGACAAGUGCAUGGAGAUUAGGAGCACCAUUAGUACCAAUACAUCUGGGCCACAAAUUUUUUGAUGGACCAUCAAGUCCAAACAGAAUCGAGAAAUUCAGAACACUCAGAGAAAGUUAAAAUGGUGGACCACUAGUUUUGCGGUGCGCCACCAAUUUGACCACAAGAUUUAGGAUUUCAGAAGACCCACUGUUGGUCAAAAUGGUUAACCACCAAUUUUGUGGUGGACCACCAACUGACCUGCAGACCCAAACAGAAUCCAGGAUUUUAGAAUACCCUGGAAAGGUUAAAAUGGUGUACCACCAGUUUCGCGGUGGACCACUAAUUUGGCCACCAAUUUGGACAACAUUUUUCUAAAUGUAAAUGUUAAAUCCUUUUUUCCUUGGAACUUUUAAAUACCAGUUUUAGGUUUUAUUAAGCAUUAUCUAGGGAGUUGAGAUACAGAUCUCAUAUCUUCAAAUCUCUCUUUCUUUUUAUUUUCUCUUUAUUUUCUUUUAUCCUUUAUCAAUUUUUCCAUGUCUAGAAACUCUUUGUAACCUAGUAUUUUGGGAAUUAAGCAAAUCUUGUGUAUCUAAUCAUUCCAUCUCUAUUCAAGAUUAAAGAACAAAUUCUUGUCACCUUUGAAAGUAAAUCUUGAAUUUAUUUAUGAAUAAUACAAAGUUGCUUUCUAUUUCUUCUAUGUAAAUGUGUGGCUAAGCUCCCAUAACUAGGGUUAUGAGAGCCUUGACGUGAAAAACUAAUUUUGGUUAUGAAUCUAAUUGAGUUCUAUGAGUAAUUGAUGUUGUAUAAACCUUUCUUCACUUUAAUGACUUUUCUAGAUUGUAAACUUGAAAAGUG